GAGGGUAUAGCUCAGUGGGAGAGUGCAUGCUUAGCAUGCACAAGGUCUUGGGUUCAAUCCCCAAUACCUCCA
rnacentral:tRNA from 1 species